rnacentral:tRNA from 1 species
AUUUAAGUAGCUUAAGUUAGAGUAUAGCCCUGAAGAUGCUAAGGUAAUCAUUAGAUUCUUGAAUA